AGAACGAACGCUGGCGGCAUGCCUAAUACAUGCAAGUCGAACGAACUCUUCGGAGUUAGUGGCGCACGGGUGCGUAACGCGUGGGAAUCUGCCCUUGGGUUCGGAAUAACAGUUGGAAACGACUGCUAAUACCGGAUGAUAUCGAAAGAUCAAAGAUUUAUCGCCCAGGGAUGAGCCCGCGUAGGAUUAGCUAGUUGGUGAGGUAAAGGCUCACCAAGGCGACGAUCCUUAGCUGGUCUGAGAGGAUGAUCAGCCACACUGGGACUGAGACACGGCCCAGACCUCCGUACGGGAGGCAGCAGGUAGGGAAUAUUGGACAAUGGGCGCAAGCCUGAUCCAGCAAUGCCGCGUGAGUGAUGAAGGCCGUUAGGGUUGUAAAGCUUACUUUUACCCGAGUAUGAUAAUGACAGUAUCGGAAGAAUAACGCCCGACUAACGUCCGUGCCAGCACGCCGC
rnacentral:rRNA from 1 species